CUCCCUAUCCUUCUCUCAAGCUCCCCCACCCUCACUCCCCCUUCAACAACAUGGCUCUUCAGCAGCGCUGCCACCACCGGCUCUCCCGCGCCCUCACUCCCCCUAACAUUGAGGCUUCUUCCUCUUCAAAGGUAACCAUUGAGGAAAUUUCCAGCUUGAUGUGACUUCAAGAUUAACACCCAUUGCUUUUUUGCAAUUCUCCUAGUCCACUGAUGGGAACAUGAGGAAAUCACAAACAAAGAAGCAAGAUCUUAACUCCUGACA